UGGUUGUAGCAUUGAGAUCAAAAGCCCAAGAUCCUGUGCAGUGCACAUUGUGUCAGUGUCUUCGAGUAUAGAAGGGUUCCCCUAUUCUGGACCCAUGCUCAUUUGUCAGAAGCUCUCCCUGGUUAGGGAUAAGAGCUGUGAGGUCUGAUCCUCACUUCAUCCUAUCAUCUGCUUCACCUUAGCCUCGUAAUGGCAAGGUUAAGAGCAAA
rnacentral:lncRNA from 1 species